rnacentral:rRNA from 1 species
GUAGGUGGCAAGCGUUGUCCGGAAUUAUCGGGCGUAAAGCGCGCGCAGGCGGUUUUUAAGUCUGAUGUGAAAGCCCACGGGCUCAACCGUGGAGGGUCAUUGGAAACUGGAGAACUUGAGUACAGAAGAGGAAGGCGGAAUUCCACGUGUAGCGGUGAAAUGCGUAGAGAUGUGGAGGAACACCAGUGGCGAAGGCGGCUUUCUGGUCUGUAACUGACGCUGAGGCGCGAAAGCGUGGGGAGCAAACAGGAUUAGAUACCCUGGUAGUCCACGCCGUAAACGAUGAGUGCUAAGUGUUAGGGGGUUUCCGCCCCUUAGUGCUGCAGCUAACGCAUUAAGCACUCCGCCUGGGGAGUACGGCCGCAAAGGCUG